rnacentral:antisense_RNA from 1 species
UUUGGCAUUCGGCUUACGCGCAAUGAUGCCGUUACCCACCGCAUGCAGCAGGUGCGUUUUACCCAGCCCGGUACCGCCAUA